AAUCUCCAAGACACUAACUUUCAUCAAGGGGAAAAGCAGGACACUUACAGUGAAAUUUUCUAAAGGUUAUUUAUUAAAUUCAUAAGUAUUUUUUAAACACCUAUGACAUGAGGGACAUGUGCUAGUUACUAAAUGUUGAAGCGAUGAACAGCAAAUUCCUUCAUAAAGGUUUGACAAUAGGAAAGUUCCCAGAAGGAAAUGGAAUAUGGAAGAUUAGAGGAAGAUGACAACUGAACCCUCAAUAAAUAUCAAUCAUGCCCAUUUGAGCUAAUAGAA
rnacentral:lncRNA from 1 species